rnacentral:tRNA from 1 species
GCAGGCGUGGCGAAGGCCCGGCGCGGCCCGCUGUCGGCCCGCCUGCCGCUGUUCGAUCCGGAACGGCUGUUC